UACGGAGGGUGCAAGCGUUAAUCGGAAUUACUGGGCGUAAAGCGUGCGCAGGCGGUUUGUUAAGUCUGCUGUGAAAUCCCCGAGCUCAACUUGGGAAUUGCAGUGGAUACUGGCAAGCUGGAGUACGGUAGAGGAAGGUGGAAUUCCCGGUGUAGCAGUGAAAUGCGUAGAGAUCGGGAGGAACACCAGUGGCGAAGGCGGCCUUCUGGACCAGUCCUGACGCUCAUGCACGAAAGCGUGGGGAGCAAACAGG
rnacentral:rRNA from 1 species